rnacentral:rRNA from 1 species
GACAGAGGGUGCAAACGUUGUUCGGAAUUACUGGGCGUAAAGCGCGUGUAGGCGGCUUGGCAAGUCGGGUGUGAAAGCCCUGGGCUCAACCUAGGAAGUGCACUCGAAACUGCUUCGCUUGAGUGCCGGAGAGGAAAGCGGAAUUCUCGGUGUAGAGGUGAAAUUCGUAGAUAUCGAGAGGAACAUCGGUGGCGAAGGCGGCUUUCUGGACGGUAACUGACGCUGAGACGCGAAAGCGUGGGGAGCAAACAGGAUUAGAUACCCUGGUAGUCCACGCCGUAAACGAUGGGUGCUAGGUGUCGCGGGCUUUGACCCCUGCGGUGCCGUAGCCAACGCAUUAAGCACCCCGCCUGGGGAGUACGGCCGCAAGGCUAAA